UACGGGGGGGGCAAGCGUUGUUCGGAAUUACUGGGCGUAAAGGGCUCGUAGGCGGCCAACUAAGCCAGACGUGAAAUCCCUCGGCUUAACCGGGGAACUGCGUCUGAUACUGGAUGGCUUGAGUUCGGGAGAGGGAUGCGGAAUUCCAGGUGUAGCGGUGAAAUGCGUAGAUAUCUGGAGGAACACCGGUGGCGAAGGCGGCGUUCUGGACUGCAACUGACACUGAGGAACGAAAGCCAGGGGAGCAAACGGG
rnacentral:rRNA from 1 species